GGAGGACUGGCCGAGUGGUCGAAGGCGGGUGACUUGAAAUCACUUGUGCCGAAAGGCACCGGGGGUUCGAAUCCCUCGUCCUCCGCCA
rnacentral:tRNA from 2 species